GAACGCUGAAGGAGGAGCUUGCUUCUCCGGAUGAGUUGCGAACGCCCUGAGUAACGCGUAGGUAACCUGCCUGGUAGUGGGGGAUAACUAUUGGAAACGAUAGCUAAUACCGCAUAAUAGCAGUUGUUGCAUGACAACUGUUUGAAAGGUGCAAUUGCACCACUACCAGAUGGACCUGCGUUGUAUUAGCUAGUUGGUGGGGUAACGGCUCACCAAGGCGACGAUACAUAGCCGACCUGAGAGGAUGACCAGCCACACUGGAACUGAGACACGGUCCAGACUCCUACGGGAGGCAGCAGUGGGGAAUAUUGCACAAUGGGCGCAAGCCUGAUGCAGCCAUGCCGCGUGUAUGAAGAAGGCCUUCGGGUUGUAAAGUACUUUCAGCGGGGAGGAAGGCGACAGGGUUAAUAACCCUGUCGAUUGACGUUACCCGCAGAAGAAGCACCGGCUAACUCCGUGCCAGCAGCCGCGGUAAUACGGAGGGUGCAAGCGUUAAUCGGAAUUACUGGGCGUAAAGCGCACGCAGGCGGUCUGUCAAGUCGGAUGUGAAAUCCCCGGGCUCAACCUGGGAACUGCAUUCGAAACUGGCAGGCUAGAGUCUUGUAGAGGGGGGUAGAAUUCCAGGUGUAGCGGUGAAAUGCGUAGAGAUCUGGAGGAAUACCGGUGGCGAAGGCGGCCCCCUGGACAAAGACUGACGCUC
rnacentral:rRNA from 1 species